rnacentral:tRNA from 1 species
GGCAUGGUGGUGCAGUGGGCAGCAGUGUUGCCUCACAGCAAGAAGGUUCUUGGUUCGAAUCUGCCCUGGGCCU